rnacentral:rRNA from 1 species
UGGCGGACGGGUGAGUAAUGUCUGGGAAACUGCCUGAUGGAGGGGGAUAACUACUGGAAACGGUAGCUAAUACCGCAUAACGUCGCAAGACCAAAGAGGGGGACCUUCGGGCCUCUUGCCAUCGGAUGUGCCCAGAUGGGAUUAGCUAGUAGGUGGGGUAACGGCUCACCUAGGCGACGAUCCCUAGCUGGUCUGGGAGGAUGACCAGCCACACUGGAACUGAGACACGGUCCAG